rnacentral:rRNA from 1 species
UACGAAGGGGGCAAGCGUUGUUCGGAUUUACUGGGCGUAAAGCGCACGUAGGCGGAUCGUUAAGUCGAGGGUGAAAUCCUGGAGCUCAACUCCAGAACUGCCUUCGAUACUGGCGAUCUAGAGUCCGGAAGAGGUGAGUGGAACUCCGAGUGUAGAGGUGGAAUUCGUAGAUAUUAGGAAGAACACCAGUGGCGAAGGCGACUCACUGGUCCGGUACUGACGCUGAGGUGCGAAAGCGUGGGGAGCAAACAGG